AAUCAUUUUUAUUGACGUUGAGUUGUGUUUGUUGGAGAUGGCUAAGCUUACUUUAAUGCAUAUUUUCGCUCUUUUCCUUUUGCUUGCAGGUUUAUUCUAGAUAGUGUAACAAUAUCUGCUUUCUUGAUAUUUAUCUAUGUAUGAUUUGCAAAACAUAUCACAGUUUAAUCACCAAUGCUAUUUGUAUAAGUGAUGGGACACUUUGGUUUUUAUAUCACAUGAUAAGAGUACAUUAUUUUAUGAAAUGAAAACUCAUGUGACAUAUUAAAUUAAAAUUUGAUGAGAGUUAGCAUGCCUAAACUUAUAAUGCUUGCAUGUGGUAACUUUGUUUUUGAAAUUUCAGGUACUUUCAUCACAAGUGAAGCAAAUAGAGGUAGUACGGGGCCACCACCUAGAAGAAAGACAGUACGGCUUACUACAGGUGGUUGCAAUCCUGUAAGAUGUCAAAGUGAAUGUGAAAUGAUGUAUGGUGCCACUCGUUAUAAUAUACGGGGUGAUUGCGUUAACACCAAUUGCAUGUGUACUUAUGAUGCCUGAUAUGUUUGUACCCUUCUUAAAUGAAGAGUGAAUAAAAACUGAUUAUGUAUUGAAUUGGAACCUUGGACUAUCUAAUUCUCACAUUCUCGUUGGCAUUGGCAUGAUGUUAUUUUGAUCAGAUUACUGUAGUCAAAUGAAAACUAUUUAUAAGAACACGAAUUAAAACGAUUUGGCGCACAUCAAAAAAAUUGUUGUCCAUUGUAUUAUUUACUAAAAUAUUUAAAUUUAAAGGAUUAACUCAUUGGCAAGAUUUGUUGCACAUAAUGUAAAUUCUUGAAGUACUAAAAUUAAUCUUAAAAGAUAUGUGAUUCACACUAUUUGUUGUCCACUAUUUGUUGUCCAUUAUUCACACUAUUUGUUGUCCAUUAUUAGUUGAAAAGCUUGGUUGUGUUUCUUCGAUCAUCUUUUGUUAACAUUUUCACUAAAAAUGGAGAAUAAAUAUGAAAAUGUGCUUGAGUGGUUACUUACAUUAUUUGAUAUUCUAACAAAUGUGAGCUACAAUUCUAGAAAUCAUAGAAAUUAUAAAACGUUGUUUCCAGUCAUUCCAAGAAUGAGGCAGUGGAGUUUUAGAAACUUUUCAGACAAUUGUAGUAUUCCAAAUGACAUGUUCUUUCACUUUUUAAAAAAAUAUCAAAAACCAAAAUGUCUCGGCUCCAUUGCAACAUUGUACUUUACCUCUUUGUUUUUGUCUCCAUAUGAAUACACUAACUGAGGUUUAUUUCUCUGUUUUCUCAUCUCGAUGUUAGUGGCUUUUAUCUCUAUAUUAAUUAGCAUGGAUUUCGACGUUGUGUCUCCAUUUGUAUAUCCACAUGCUUUCUUAUUUUUUUAUUCUUGUUCACAUGUCCUAAUAGUACUCAGACAUGCGCUAUAUGAUCCCUAGAUUCAGAGGUACCCCGACCAUCAUUAUUUGUUUUCUUUUUAUAUAGUUCAGAAGUUCAGAUAGUAAUUCGACCUAUGUUCUUGGAUGUUUUUAUUAUUUUCCCAAACUUCUAGAUAUACCCAAACAUGUUUUCUUGAUUGUUCUUAUUCCUGCUCCCGAGGUCAAAAUUAAUUGGGCAUCUGUUCUUCAUUGUUUUUCUAACUAUUCCUAUGUUUCAGUAAUACCCAACAUGAGUUCUUUAUUCUAAGGGAAGAGGACCAUUAUCAAUUAUUUUUUUAGAUGGGAUGACAAGUCUGAGAAGUAUUUUUUUAAACUAGUAUAUUCCUAUCCUAAACCCUCUUGUUUUGAUCAUUAAGUAGAUCCCUUAGCCCUCACUUGAAACACACUAAAAAACACCAAAUAACUUAUUUUCUAACCACACAAAAACCAGUGUCAAACAAAUUGUCUAUACAAGUAUGUGCAACCAAUCUACAGUAGAUAGAAUAUGGGCUACCAAUCCAUUAGUGUCUAGCCUCACACUAUCCGGGAAUCCCGUCAUGGCUCUGAUAAUAAUAAAAUGUAACUAAUAAAUCUAAACAAUAAUAAUAACAUAUAAUAUUUUUUCUGUAAUAAAUAAAUAUAUAAAAUAGAGCUUGAACUAUAUAAACUCUUUCAUCUAUUAUCCGCAAUUAAUAUAAAGGUUUAUUAAAAAUAAUUAUAAUAAAGAUGGAGACAAGUUUAAGAUUUCAUCUAUAUUAUUGUAAUAUCUUUGAACAAACCUGAAACCAAGUUUUGUACAUUAAAAUUUAAUUAACAAUUAAAUAUUAAAAAACAUUUUGACAUGAUGAUAACUAAUUUUAAAGAUAGGUAGUAUAAUUAAAUCUUUGAAAUAGGAAUCCAAACAUAGUAAUAAUAAAAGUAUUUUCUUCAGUAAUAAAUAAUGACUGUAAAAUCAAACAAAUAUGAAUAUUUUCUUAAUUGAUUUUAGGAAUAUAAAAAUAAUAGUAACGUUGAAGAUGUAGGAAGGGUUGUGAUGACUAACUUUCUUUUCUCAGCCCAUCCUUUGAAUGGUUGUUGAUAAAUCACAUAUAUUCUUUAAAAUAAUUAAAAGGAGCGAUCCAUCGACCUAUGGAUAAAAGUAUAUGUUAAACAAAUACUUUGAAAUUUAGAAAGGUUCAUAAUUGGUUUUUUUAAUGAAAUAGUCCUUUGUAAUAUAUUAUUUAAAUCAUUUUAUUGGUUGGUUGUGGUAUUUAAUAUGAAAUUAUAGUGAUAACAAUUAUUUAAAAACCAAUUUUUUAAUAAAGCUUGUUAAAAUCCACUUGUAAUGUACUUUUUUAUAGGAAAUUAACAGCAAACUUGUUUGGUUUGGACUAAAUUAAUUUAUAAUAUACAUAUAAUUUUAAUAAUAAUAAGAUUAUACUUUAUUAGAUUAUUUACAAAAGGGUUCAAAAAUAGUAGUAGUUUAUUAUAUUAUGAUCAUAAUUUAUGUUCUUUAAUAAUAUAGUUAUAAUAAAUUAUAAUUUAGUAGAUAUUAAUAUAUUAUAAUUUAUUAGAUAUAAUUUAUUAGAUAUUAAUAAUAUAAUUUAGUAGUAGUGAUAAUAUUAAGUGAUAUUAAUGCUUAUAUUGUGCAAAGAAAUAUUAGCAUUAAACCAUUUUUAUUAACGUUGUGUUUGUUGGAGAUGGCUAAGCUUACUGUAAUGCGUAUUUUCGCCCUUUUCCUUUUGCUUACAGGUUUAUUCUAAAUAGUGCAACAAUAUCUACUUUCUGAAUAUUUAUCUAUGUAUGAUUUGCAAAACUUAUCAUCGUUUAAUCACCAAUGCUACUUCUAUAAUUGAUAGGACACUUUGGUUUUUCUAUCACAUAAUAAGAGUAUAUUGUUUUAUAAAAUGAAAAGUUUUGUGACAUAUUAAAUUAAAAUUUGAUGAGAGUUAACAUGCCUAAAAUUAUAAUUCUUGCCUAUUGUGAACAAUCAUUUUUUCUGUCCCUGAAAAACACCGAAACGUUUUUAAAUAUAAAAUAUAGAAUUCCAAAAAUAAUUUUCCAAAAACAAUAAAACUAAACAUGUUAUGUUAAGGUUCCUAACUCUAAAUGAUUAGGUUAAUCAAAAUUGAAAUUUAAAAUAAUAACACUAAACCAUUUGUUAAAGUUCCUAAAUCUAUGUGAUUAGGUUAACCAAAAUUCAAGUUUAAAGUAAUUGAACUCACAAAGAAAAUGAUUUUUUUAGAGUUAUUCUCAAAAUAAUAAUACUGAAUAUAUAAAAAUAAAAGAUGAGUGAAUUAAAGAGUUGAUUGUAUUAUUAUAUUAAUUUAAGAUUUGAAAUUAUGUAAUUUGAAUCACAUCAUAUCCAUUUUAUUAGUUGCAUGAAUCACCUUGAUAAUAACUAAAUCUUUAAAGAUUCAAAAAUCAAAUCAAGAUUACGAUAUGGAAAAACGCGAAUAAAAUCAAAUCAAAUUAGAAAGUUCAUAUCAAUCUAAUUGUGUUACAUAAAUCAAUUUGAUUAGAAAAUUAAACAUUUAGAGAUUUGGAAUCAAAUAAAUUAAGGUUGCCAAUCAAUCAAAUAAGCUUAAUAUCGCAAUUAGAAAAUAUGCAAAUCAAGUUAAGAUUGGAAAAUUUUAUAUCAAUCUGAUUGUGUUGCAAAAAUAAUUUUGAUUGUAAUAAUUAAUCUUUAAAGAUUUGGUCCUAUGAAAAUUUAAACUUUUAGAGAUUUGGAAUCAAUUAAAUUAAGGAUGCAAUCUGAGAAUUAGAAAAUCAAAUCAAAUCAAUUUGAUCAUGUUUUAAAUAUGAUUUAUUUCCGUUAACCUCCUCUAAUCAAUUAAUGGGAGAUAUAGAAUUUAGUUUCUAGUAUUCAGUUUCAAAUUGAAAGGAUAGGAAUAGCAUGAAAACACUCUGCUAGGGCUCUUCUUCUCUACCUCCAACUUUCUUGGAAGUCCAUUAAUGGCCACAAUGAACGUUGGCACGCCUCUCAUUCCUUGGAACUUCUUAGAUGGCACUGAAUGCCCUCCUGUGAACCCUCCUUCUCCUCCUUCAACCCACAUGAAAAAGUCAUUUGCCCAAGCUUUAAAAAACUCAAAUGACAUUGCACUAUCUCAGCUGCCUCAACCUUGCAUCAAAGGUGAAGCCAUUGCUAUCAAGAUCCCUGAAGAGGACUAUCAGGAAGGGGUCAAGAGAUGCAAAACUCACCUUCAUGGGAGGCUCAUUCUAGCUAAAGGAGAUGCUCCCCUAAAGUUCGAAGAGAUUAAGGCUAAACUAAGCUCUUUAUGGAGUAGCAUAGGUAAAUGGAGCAUGAUAUCCUUGGGAAGGGGAUACUAUGAUUUCUCAUUCUCAUCCCUGGAGGAUAUGCGAAGUGUUUGUGCUGUAGGGGCUUGGAAUCUUCGUCCAGGUUACCUUAGAUUGUACCUAUGGACACCUGAUUUUAACCCAGCACUGCAGAAGUUCUCUCAUGUUCAAUGCUGGGUAAAAAUAAUAGGUUUGCCUCAAGAGUAUUGGAGCCCUAGAAUCAUCUUCUCUAUUGCAGGGGGGAUAGGUGCUCCAAUCUCCCUGGAUGAUGCCACAAACAAUCGAGCUUUUGGACACUUUGCAAGGGUGCUAGUUGAUAUGGAUCUGAAAUCAGAGUUGCCCAACCAGAUCCUAGUGGAAAGAGAAGGCUAUGCUUUCUUUGUGGAACUUGAAUAUGAAAAGCUCCCUCAGUUCUGCACAGGUUGCCAAACAAUUGGUCAUCUGCAUUCCAAUUGGGCAUCUGUUCUUCAUUGUUUUUCUAACUAUUCCUAUGUUUCAGUAAUACCCAACAUGAGUUCUUUAUUCUAAGGGAAGAGGACCAUUAUCAAUUAUUUUUUUAGAUGGGAUGACAAGUCUGAGAAGUAUUUUUUUAAACUAGUAUAUUCCUAUCCUAAACCCUCUUGUUUUGAUCAUUAAGUAGAUCCCUUAGCCCUCACUUGAAACACACUAAAAAACACCAAAUAACUUAUUUUCUAACCACACAAAAACCAGUGUCAAACAAAUUGUCUAUACAAGUAUGUGCAACCAAUCUACAGUAGAUAGAAUAUGGGCUACCAAUCCAUUAGUGUCUAGCCUCACACUAUCCGGGAAUCCCGUCAUGGCUCUGAUAAUAAUAAAAUGUAACUAAUAAAUCUAAACAAUAAUAAUAACAUAUAAUAUUUUUUCUGUAAUAAAUAAAUAUAUAAAAUAGAGCUUGAACUAUAUAAACUCUUUCAUCUAUUAUCCGCAAUUAAUAUAAAGGUUUAUUAAAAAUAAUUAUAAUAAAGAUGGAGACAAGUUUAAGAUUUCAUCUAUAUUAUUGUAAUAUCUUUGAACAAACCUGAAACCAAGUUUUGUACGUUAAAAUUUAAUUAACAAUUAAAUAUUAAAAAACUUUUUGAAAUGAUGGUAACUAAUUUUAAAGAUAGGUAGUAUAAUUAAAUCUUUGAAAUAGGAAUCCAAACAUAGUAAUAAUAAAAGUAUUUUCUUCAGUAAUAAAUAAUGACUGUAAAAUCAAACAAAUAUGAAUAUUUUCUUAAUUGAUUUUAGGAAUAUAAAAAUAAUAGUAACGUUGAAGAUGUAGGAAGGGUUGUGAUGACUAACUUUCUUUUCUCAGCCCAUCCUUUGAAUGGUUGUUGAUAAAUCACAUAUAUUCUUUAAAAUAAUUAAAAGGAGCGAUCCAUCGACCUAUGGAUAAAAGUAUAUGUUAAACAAAUACUUUGAAAUUUAGAAAGGUUCAUAAUUGGUUUUUUUAAUGAAAUAGUCCUUUGUAAUAUAUUAUUUAAAUCAUUUUAUUGGUUGGUUGUGGUAUUUAAUAUGAAAUUAUAGUGAUAACAAUUAUUUAAAAACCAAUUUUUUAAUAAAGCUUGUUAAAAUCCACUUGUAAUGUACUUUUUUAUAGGAAAUUAACAGCAAACUUGUUUGGUUUGGACUAAAUUAAUUUAUAAUAUACAUAUAAUUUUAAUAAUAAUAAGAUUAUACUUUAUUAGAUUAUUUACAAAAGGGUUCAAAAAUAGUAGUAGUUUAUUAUAUUAUGAUCAUAAUUUAUGUUCUUUAAUAAUAUAGUUAUAAUAAAUUAUAAUUUAGUAGAUAUUAAUAUAUUAUAAUUUAUUAGAUAUAAUUUAUUAGAUAUUAAUAAUAUAAUUUAGUAGUAGUGAUAAUAUUAAGUGAUAUUAAUGCUUAUAUUGUGCAAAGAAAUAUUAGCAUUAAACCAUUUUUAUUAACGUUGUGUUUGUUGGAGAUGGCUAAGCUUACUGUAAUGCGUAUUUUCGCCCUUUUCCUUUUGCUUACAGGUUUAUUCUAAAUAGUGCAACAAUAUCUACUUUCUGAAUAUUUAUCUAUGUAUGAUUUGCAAAACUUAUCAUCGUUUAAUCACCAAUGCUACUUCUAUAAUUGAUAGGACACUUUGGUUUUUCUAUCACAUAAUAAGAGUAUAUUGUUUUAUAAAAUGAAAAGUUUUGUGACAUAUUAAAUUAAAAUUUGAUGAGAGUUAACAUGCCUAAAAUUAUAAUUCUUGCCUAUUGUGAACAAUCAUUUUUUCUGUCCCUGAAAAACACCGAAACGUUUUUAAAUAUAAAAUAUAGAAUUCCAAAAAUAAUUUUCCAAAAACAAUAAAACUAAACAUGUUAUGUUAAGGUUCCUAACUCUAAAUGAUUAGGUUAAUCAAAAUUGAAAUUUAAAAUAAUAACACUAAACCAUUUGUUAAAGUUCCUAAAUCUAUGUGAUUAGGUUAACCAAAAUUCAAGUUUAAAGUAAUUGAAUUCUCAAAGAAAAUGAUUUUUUUUAGAGUUAUUCUAAAAAUAAUAAUACUAAAUAAAUAAAAAUAAAAGCUGAGUGAAUUAAAGAGUUGAUUGUAUUAUCAUAUAAAUUUAAGAUUUGAAAUUAUGUAAUUUGAAUCACAUCAUAUCCAUUUUAUUAGUUGCAUGAAUCACCUUGAUAAUAACUAAAUCUUUAAAGAUUCAAAAAUCAAAUCAAGAUUACGAUAUGGAAAAACGCGAAUAAAAUCAAAUCAAAUUAGAAAGUUCAUAUCAAUCUAAUUGUGUUACAUAAAUCAAUUUGAUUAGAAAAUUAAACAUUUAGAGAUUUGGAAUCAAAUAAAUUAAGGUUGCCAAUCAAUCAAAUAAGCUUAAUAUCGCAAUUAGAAAAUAUGCAAAUCAAGUUAAGAUUGGAAAAUUUUAUAUCAAUCUGAUUGUGUUGCACAAAUAAUUUUGAUUGUAAUAAUUAAUCUUUAGAGAUUUGAUUCUAGGAAAAAUUAAUAUUUUAGAGAUUUGGAAUCAAUUAAAUUAAGUAUGCAAUCUGAGAAUAAGAAAAUUAAAUCAAACCAAAUCAAAUCAAGCACAUUUCAAAUCAAUUUUAUUAUGUUUUAAAUAUGAUUUAUUUCCGUUAACCUCCUUUAACCAAUUAAUGGAAAAUAUUCUCCUCGUUAAGCACAUGUGAUAAGUUAUAGUCUAUAAAUAGAGUGUCUUAUUCACCAAAGAAGAGGGUGGGUUCCACACAAAAAAGGCACUAAAAAGACAAGAAUUCCAUGUAAAAAUUACAACCAAGAAUUACACACAAAAAUCCCUCAAAAAAGAGCUCAUCAUACUAGUCCACAUAUGCGUUGACCAGCCACUCACAAGCAAUUAAAUCUUGAAACAUCAUACGAUUGUAGUACACUAUUUCGUUCCAAAUUACUACUCUCACAUGAACAUAAGAUUAUCCACGUCUAAGUGCACCCUUCCUCACCUAACGCAUGCAGAUCUACCAAGUGGUCAUAUUCUCCACUCUUUGCAGUGUUGGCCAAUCUGGUUCUGACAUGUCAUUGAGCCUAGUAAAUCAUUUGUCUUUCGUUUACAUUGUAUCCAUGCUCCUUUGCAAUCUUCAAAAAGUAAGUACCUUCAUUUUUCUAUAAUGUGUGUAUGAUAAUUGUACCAAAUUUUAUUGCCAUCAUUGAAGAAAUAAUUUUACUAAUAAUUUGUAUAAUAAUAUUAAUAAUAAUAUUGUCAUAUGAUAAAUUUUAUUUUUUAUAAUAGAAAGUCAAGAAUAUCUAUUACCUAGCAAUUACUUAAUAAGAUUUUUUUUUCAAAUCAAAUAAAUAUCACCAUAAAUUAAAUCAAAUAAAUGUCAACCAACAAAUCUUUUGUACUAAAGAACUACAUAAGCCUUGAUUCCCUUAGUAGGGAUACGUAUGACCAAAGUCAAUCUUGUCAGGCAGAAUAAUAAAAAUAAAUAAAUUUGUUUAUUUUAAUAAUUAAUUAAUUAACCAGAUAAUGUAAUAAUAAAUAACGAUAAUAAUAAAGUCAUGUAUUUUGGUGAAGGGUAUCGCCUAAGGUGGGCGGAUAGGGUGUUAAUACCUUCCCUACCUUGUAACUGACUCCGGAACCUGGAUAUUAAAAAUCCAAAAGCCCAAGGUAAUUGAGCUUAAAAUAUUUUUCUACAUUUUUAACUAUAAAAUAUAGUACUGAUCCUAAAUAAAUUCAUGUAGCCGAAAAUCGGGGUGUGACACCUAUGGUAACUUUGUUUUUGAACUUUCAAGUAUUUUCAUCACAAGUGAAGCAAAAAGAGUUGAGGCUCCUAAAAGAAAGACAACAAAGAUAUCUACAUGUGGUUGCAAUCCUACAAGAUGUCAAAGUGAUUGUGAAAUUAUGUAUGGUUCACGUCAUACUAAUAUAGUGGGAGAUUGUGUUUCCAACAAUUAUAAGUGUACUUAUGAUGAGUGAUAUGUUUGUACCCUUCUUAAUUGAAGAAUGAAUAAAAAAUGAUUCUCUAUUGAAUUGGAACCUUGGACUAUCUAAUUCUCACAUUCUCGUCUGUUGAUGAUCACUCAGAAGAAGAACAAUUGUUCACAGUAUCAUGCUUUGACACCAACAAUUCUAGAGAAAGUUUGCUCAUUGGUAGUGGUUGUACAAAUCACGUGACUUAUGAUCGAGAACUCUUUAGAGAGCUUCACAAAAAUGUUAUUUCCAAAGUCAGAAUUGAAAAUGGGGCAUAUAUUGCAACAAAAUGCAAAUGAACAAUUACAAUUAAUAGUUACACAGGUUUCAAAUUAAUUCAAGAUGUUUUAUAUGUUCCUAAAAUUAAUCAAAAUUUGUUAAGUGUUCCUCAUUUGAUGAAAAAAGGCUAUGAGAUUUUGUUUUGAAGAGAAAAGCUACAUGAUUAAAGAUUCAAAAGGUAGAGUGGUGUUCAAAAUUCAAAUGAAAGGCAAAAGUUUUGUCAUGGAUUUGAUGAAAGAUGAGCAAGUUGCAGUACACUAAGAAAAAAUAGAAACAAAGUCUCCUACAUGCAUUGUCUACCGAUAUGGGAAGCAUACAAGGCUUCAUUUUCUGCAGAAAAGGACAUGAAAUGCGACACAGAAGCUGGAAUUGAUACACACAAAUGUUGGAGGACCUAUGAGUACACCAUCAAAUGUUCCAAGUAUAGGAAUGGUUUUUUAAGGUGUGGACCUACAUUUGGGUCUAAUUUUUUGAAGAGGGAUUUAUCUUGGUGGAGAGAGUUAAGAAAUCUGAAUCUUACUAGAUAGGAGAAUGCUAGUGAUUGAGUUAGUAAGGGUACUAGAACAGGUCUUGCAUCAAAAGGGAUAUUAUGUUUUGGGAGGAUCUAUAAGUGGGAGAAGCAUAACUAAAAAUUUCUUUUACAAGAUUAUAUCAGUUAACUUUGAACAAAUCAUAAUUAGGGAGUCACAGGAAUGGAGGAACACGAGUAGAUGUGGAAAAUACAUUAGAGAAGGAGUCUCAUUCAUCGAGAGCAUGAGGAAGUUGAAAAACUGUAUCAUUUAUUAGCAUCAACAAGGCUUUCAACUGAAUGAAUUGAUACAUGAAUUUGGAUUCAUAACAAAUGAGACAAAUAUUCAGUCAAAAAUGCUUAUUAAUUACUUAUUGCUCUAAAAGGAGGAUAACUGUAACAAAUAUAUACUCGAGAAACUUCGGUCAAAGUAUAUACCGACAAAGAUGAUAUGUUUAUCUUAGAAGAUAAUCAUGAAAAAAUACUUCAAAAGUUGUAUUUACUAAGAAGAGCACCUUAAAUUCCAAUAUUUUGACAAGUUAUGCAUUAUGUGCAGGGUUGAAGGAAUCAGUCAACCCUAUCUUUCUCUAUUUCCCAAAAUCUUAUGACAUUUGACAAAAAAUAUAUUCUUGGUUUGACUUUUCUUUUACUAUUCACAAAGAUAUUAAAACACAUUUCCUAAACCAUGAAGAUUUAUUGCAUGUGACUAGGAGGGAGAGGGAAGCUUGAAUUUCUCUAUGGUUUAUCACUAUUUACAUGGCAUGUUAGAAAUUGGAUUGUAUUUGAGAAUUAUAUCUUCCACUUGAGUGAAAAGAUGAAGUUAAUUUAUCUAAACUCUUGGAAUCUAUUAAAAGCAAGAUUUGAGGGAUUUUCUUAUUCUUACACGGAAUGGUAUUAAACCAUUUGUUAUGUGUUUUUUGUGUUAGAUUUUUAUUAGAUUUGGUGGAUCGUUUUCCUUAACCGUUAUUUUUUUCAAUAAUAUUUUCUUUUGCCGAUAAACAAAGUGUAAAUAUAUAUACACACUCAGAACUAUUCAUUUGUAUAACUUUUUUAAGUCAAUGAUAAUUAUAUAUAUUAUAUAUAUAUUCAUUACAUCAUCCAUGUGUUCAUCGUGCAUGCAUUAUUUUUCUCUUCAAUAAUGGCCAAAAGAUUUUCGUUGAUAAUGGAGUAUAAAAUAAAUAAAGUCCAUGCAUGCAUGAAACCUAUUCCUCCCGUAAUUCUUUUCAACUAAUUCAUAUCCAUGAAAAAUUAUAAGACGAUGGUUUGGUUUAAUGAAGAUAAAAAAGACUUGGGAAAAGAAUGUAACAGGGAAAAGAUAAAGAAACAUAUGCAAACUUCAUUAUUACACAUGAGUCACUCAUAGUAGUGUUCUCGUACUUGUUUUCUAAGCAAAAAUCUCUUGAUAAAUGGAUAUAAAAUGGUACAUAAAGGGAUUUGGUAGAAGUCUAACUGAAGAUUUGUUUCUUCUAAUUUUUGAUUGGGAUAUUCAAGUUCCAUUGACAGAAGAGUUGUAUCCACAAUCUCUGAAAAAAAUUGGAAAAUACAUUAAGGAAGAAAAAUCACAUGAAAUAUAAAGAGUAAAUGAGAUCAACUUUAAUGAUGUUAUCUAGUAAUAUAAUUAUUAAGUAAUAAAUAACUACCUUUGAUUCCUCAAGAAGAGAAAAUAUCCAAAAUUUAUACUUAGAUCUUUGGUACCCACACAUAUCACACAACAUACAACAAAAACAUAUCAAUUACCAUAUGACCUUAUUGACAUUAUGCAAUUAAAAAGGGAGGAAGCCAUAGCAAACUAGGGAAGAAGAGGAGAAGAGAAAGGGGAGAGGACGUGCCAUAAGAGAAGAAAGAAGAUAAAUUAGGGAUUUGCCCCCACCCCAAUUACUUGAAUUUUUUUAUUCCUUUCAUUUUGCUUUUAUUUUAAUUUAAUUCUUUGUUUAUUCAUUUAUUUGUUUUGUUUAAUUGCAAUCAUUUAUCUAUUUCUGAUUUUCAUUCAAUUUUUAGCAAUAUUUGGUAUCCCAUUAAAGUGUACGCAAUCUAUGCUUUUAUUUUAAUUUAAUUUUUAGAUAUGGUACAUACAUUAGCUUUGUUACGUCUUCUAUCUCAUAAACAAUUCAAAUUCAAUUAUUUCAAAAGUCUAUUUAAGAUUUAGUGCGAUGCGGACAUUAGCUUUUGCUGCUUCACCUAUCUUAAAGACGAUAGAAAAUCAAGUUAUAUUUCUACCAAACAAAACCAAACCAAACCAAACCAAACCAAACAAAACAAAUUAACCAAAUUUUGAACCAGAACUACGUAGUCUUGAUUUCCUAUUGCACCUAGGGAUAUGUUGGAGUAAGAUAACCUCUUGUUAGACACAACAAUAAAAAAUAAAAUAUUUUGUUUCAAUAGUUGAAUCUUAAUAAAUAAAGUUUUUUAAGGGUAUAAAAGUUCAUGUUAUCAGUGACGGGACCGCUUUAAUACGGAUGGACGAGGUUCUAAUACCUUCCCUGAUCCGUAAUCUACUCUCGAGCUCAAAAUCUUUGUUUAAAGAUCAUUCUUAUCCAAUUCAGGCAUCAAUCUUUGUUUAAAGAUAAUUUUUAAUUCUUAUUUUUUUAUUCUUGUUCACAUGUCCUAAUAGUACUCAGACAUGUGCUAUUUGUUGUUUUUGUUCUUGUUCCCUAGCUUCACAGGUACCCCAACCAUCAUUAUUUGUUGUCUUUUUAUAUAGCUCACAAGUUCAGAUAGUAAAUCGACCUAUUUUCUUGGAUGUUUUUAUUAUUGUCCCCAAAUUUUGGAUAUACCCCAACCUGUUUUCUUGGUUGUUCUUAUUCCUGUUCCCGAGCUCAAGAAUUAAUUGGACAUUCAUUCUUCUUUGUUUUUCUUACUAUUCCUAUGUUUCAACAGUACCCGGCGUGAUUUCUUAAUUCUAGGUAAUGAGGAACAUAUUCAAUUUUUCUUUUAAAAUUGGAUGACAAGUCUUAGAAGUAUUUUUUAAAACUAGUAUGUUCCUAUCCUAAACUCUCGUAUUUUGAUCUUUAAGUAGAUCCCUUAGCCCGCACUUCAAACACACUAAAAAACACCAAAUAACUUAUUUUCUAACAACACAGAAAUUAGGGUCAACCUAAUUGUCUCUACAAGUAAGUGCAGCCAAUUUGCAGUAGACACAAUAAGGGCAACGAAGCCAUUAGUGUCUAGCCUCACAUUGUCCGUGGAAUCCUGUCGUGACUUUGAUAAUAAUAAAAUGUAACUAAUAAAUCUAAACAAUAAUAAUAACAUAUAAUACGAUUCUAUAAUAAAUAAAUAUAUAAAAUAGGGCUGGAACUACAUAAACUCUUUCAUCUAUUACCAACAAUUAAUAUAAAGGUCUAUUAAAAUGAAUUAUAGUAAAGAUGAAGACAAGUUUAAGAUUUAAUCUAUACUAUUAAAAUAUCUUUGAACAAACAUGAACUUAACUUUUGUUCGUUAAAAUUUAAUUAAAAAUUAAAUAUUAAAAAAAAACAAUUUGACAUAAUAAUAACUAAUAUAAAAGAAAGAUAGUAUAAUUACAUCUUUGACAUAGAAACCCAAACAUAGUAAUAAUAAAAGUAUUUUCUUCAGUAAUAAGUAAUGACUGUCAAAUCAAACAAAUAUGAACAUUUUUUUUUUUAAUUAUUUAAGGAAUAAAAAAAUAAUAGUAACAUUGAAGAUGUUGGAAGGGUUGUGAUGACUCACUUUCUUUUCUCAGCCCAUUCUUUGAAUGACCAUUGAUAAAUCACAUCUAUUCUUUAAAAUAAUUAAAACACAAACAACCAAUCAAACAUUUUUUGCCAAGAAUCACUUAGUCGUAAUUUCCAAUUGCACAUGAGCAUACUCAUGACCUAGAUAAACUCAUGUGAAAAUUCUAUUAUAUCUUUUAUAAAUAAAUAGAUAAUUAAAAAUAAUAAUAAAACAAGUUAAAUGUAUAAUAUUAUCCAUUAUAUUAACUACUUCCUUUCCCAAUCCAUAAUCGUCUCCCGAUCAUAGAACUCUUGUUUAAGGACCAAAACAUUAUGAUAAUUACGUAUAAGGAGAGUUUUCUAGCUUUUGUUCGUAAGAAUGUAGUGGCAAUUCCAAAUCUUUUAGAAGAUAGUAUAAUUUUCCUUCACAUUUUUCAUAAGUUGUAUAAUAGGUGUUAACCAAAAAUUAGGAUGUGACAAGUAUAAUUGAAUAUGUUUGAAAUUUAAACUUUUUAUUUGUAUAUAAAUUUGAUUAAAUACAUAUGAAAGGAAUAUUUAUGAGCAAGUCGUUUAUCCAAUAUUUGGGAAAAUCUACACCCCAAUGUAUCUUACAUAUCAAACCCUAAUUCUCAAUCCCAAAAGGGGACACUUAGUAGGUAAGAGAGGGUGAUAGUAUUACAUUGAAUAUAAUUAGUCACCCAAACAAAAGGAGCGAUCCAUUCACCUAUGGAUAAAAGUAUAUGUUAAACAAAUACUUUGAAAUUUAGAAAGGUUCAUAAACGGUGUUCUUUUUAAUGAAAUAUUCAUUUAUAGUAAGUUAUUUAAAUCAUUUUAUUGGUUGGUUGUGGAAUUUAAUUUGAAAUUAUAGUAAUAAUAAUUAAUUAAAAAUCAAUUUUGUAUUAAAACUUAUUAAAAUCAACUUCUUAUGUACUUUUUACAGGAAAUUAACAGCAAAUUUGAUUGGUUUGGACUAAAUUAAUUUAUAAUAUACAUAUAAUUAUAAUAAUAAUAAGAUUAUACUUUAUUAGAUACUUUACAAAAGGGUAAAAAAGAGUAGUAGUUUAUUAUAAUAUAAUCAUAAUUUAUGUUUUUUAAUAAUAUAGUUAUAAUAUAAUUAUAAUUUAUUACAUAUUAAUAUAUUAAUUUAUAAUAUUAGAAUUGUAAUUUUUAUAUGUUUUUAAGUCAAAGCAAUUAGUGUUAUUGAUAUCUUGCUAUCACUUUGUCACUAUAUAAAUGAGUAGUCUCACCUUCCACUACUAUGCUUAUAUUGUGCAAAGAAACAUUGGGAUUAAAUCAUUUUUAUUGACGUUGAGUUGUGUUUGUUGGAGAUGGCUAAGCUUACUUUAAUGCAUAUUUUCGCUCUUUACGUUUUGGUUGCAGGUAUAUUUUAGAUAGUGUAACAAUAUCUGUUUUCCUGAUAUUUAUCUAUGUUUAAUUUACAAAACUUAUCACAGUUUAAUCACCAAUGCUAUUUGUAUAAUUGAUGUGACACUUUUGUUUUUAUAUCACAUAAUAAUAGUACAUUGUUUUAUAAAAUGAAAACUCAUGUGACAUAUUAAAUUAAAAUUUGAAGAGAGUUAGCCUGCCUAAAAUUAUAAUUCUUGCAUGUCGUAACUUUGUUUCUAAAAUUUCAGGUAUUUUCAACACGAGUGAAGCAAACGCCAGUAGUAUGGGGCUACCUAGAAGAAGGCCAGUAAGGCUUUCUACAGGUGGUUGCCAUCCUCUAAGAUGUCCACGUGAAUGUGAAAAAAAGUAUGGUGGCACUUAUUAUAAUAUACGGGGUGAUUGCGUUAACAACAAUUGCAUGUGUACUUAUGAUGGCUGAUAUGUUUGUACCCUUCUUAAAUGAAGAAUGAAUAAAAACUGAUUAUAUAUUGAAUUGGAAA
rnacentral:lncRNA from 1 species